CAGAGUGUAGGUGUAGCUGAUAAUUCUAAGUAAUCAACAGUUAACACACGAAGGCUUUCCUUAUUCUGUGGCUAUGACUAUCUUAAAUCUCUAGUUUUCCACAGCUUUAAAAUAAAAUCUUAGUUCUAUACCAAAAUAUUUUAAUAUACCUAUCUCUUAGCAAUUUAGUUCCAAGCUAUUUUGUUUAAAAAUUUUCUUCAGUGCACCUUUUAAGUAUUUUUUUCUGCUCUCUCUCUCUGUAGCAACAUCAUCCUCCAUGCUAAUAAGGCAAAUGCGAGGAUAUCUUGCUAUUGAGUGACUCCAGUGAACAAGGAACUUUAAGAACAACAGAAAUCAGUAAUUGGACUAACCAGGAAAAGGGGAGCUCUUUGAAGCUCCUGUCCAAAACAACUGAAAUAAAUAAUGAAGGCUGAAGAAGAAUAUUCAAAAUAAUGGGUAAUCACUAAACACUUCCCAAUUGGGAGGCCAAGCAAGAAAUAAGUCAGAAUAAGACAACCAUGACUAGGACCAAACAACAACGACGACGACAAGAACAACAACAACAACAACAAAACAACAACAACAACAACAAAGAGGCACAAACACAAAACGGAACAGUGCACAUGGUAGGUGAUAUAAAUGUGCUAAAUAAAUGAAGAAAACAAUAAGCCGAAGCUGGAAAAAUCAAUUGUCAAGACAGAAGACUCCUUCUCUCUAGACUUUUCCAAGCUGCUGAAACAAACGUCUACGUUGUUUUUUUUAAGUUAAAGGAUGAUGGAAUCAAGCCAAGUGAGCCCCAAACCUGGAUCCAACACCUAUCAAGUAUGUGACUCUGGGUAAG